rnacentral:rRNA from 1 species
UGGGGAAUAUUGGACAAUGGGGGCAACCCUGAUCCAGCCAUGCCGCGUGAGUGAUGAAGGCCUUCGGGUUGUAAAGCUCUUUUGGCGGGGACGAUGAUGACGGUACCCGCAGAAUAAGCCCCGGCUAACUUCGUGCCAGCAGCCGCGGUAAGACGAAGGGGGCUAGCGUUGUUCGGAAUUACUGGGCGUAAAGCGAGUGUAGGCGGUUGCCGUAGUCAGGUGUGAAAGCCUUGAGCUCAACUCAAGAAAUGCACUUGAUACUGGGUGACUAGAGGACCGGAGAGGAUAGUGGAAUUCCCAGUGUAGUGGUGAAAUACGUAGAGAUUGGGAAGAACACCAGUGGCGAAGGCGGCUAUCUGGACGGUUACUGACGCUAAGACUCGAAAGCGUGGGGAGCAAACAGGAUUAGAUACCCUGGUAGUCCACGCCGUAAACGAUGGGUGCUAGACGUUGGCGAGCUUGCUCGUCAGUGUCGCAGCUAACGCGUUAAGCACCCCGCCUGGGGAGUACGGCCGCAAGGUUGAAACUCAAAUGAAUUGACGGGGGUCAUAGCUGUUUCCU